rnacentral:rRNA from 1 species
CGCUGGCGGCGUGCCUAACACAUGCAAGUCGAGCGAUGAAACCCUUCGGGUGGAUUAGCGGCGGACGGGUGAGUAACACGUGGGUAACCUGCCUCAAAGAGGGGGAUAGCCUCCCGAAAGGGAGAUUAAUACCGCAUAACAUUAUUUCUUCGCAUGAAGAGAUAAUCAAAGGAGUAAUCCGCUUUGAGAUGGACCCGCGGCGCAUUAGCUAGUUGGUGAGGUAAUGGCUCACCAAGGCGACGAUGCGUAGCCGACCUGAGAGGGUGAUCGGCCACAUUGGAACUGAGAUACGGUCCAGACUCCUACGGGAGGCAGCAGUGGGGAAUAUUGCGCAAUGGGGGAAACCCUGAACCGCAGCAACGCCGCGUGGGCGAAGAAGGCCUUCGGGUUGUAAAGCUCUGUCUUCUGGGACGAUAAUGACGGUACCAGAGGAGGAAGCCACGGCUAACUACGUGCCAGCCGCCGC